CCUACGGGGGGCAGCAGUGAGGAAUCUUGCGCAAUGGGCGAAAGCCUGACGCAGCGAUGCCGCGUGGGGGAUGAAGGCCUUCGGGUUGUAAACUCCUUUCGACCGGAAAGAAACGCACUUUGGCUAAUACCCAAGGUGUUUGACGGUACCGGGAGAAGAAGCCACGGCUAACUCUGUGCCAGCAGCCGCGGUAAGACAGAGGUGGCGAGCGUUGUUCGGAUUUACUGGGCGUAAAGAGUUCGUAGGCGGUUUUACAUGUCUGUUGUGAAAUCCCGAGGCUUAACCUCGGAACUGCAUCAGAAACGGUAUCACUAGAGGACAGGAGGGGGAAGUGGAAUUCCAGGUGUAGCGGUGAAAUGCGUAGAUAUCUGGAAGAACACCGGUGGCGAAGGCGGCUUCCUGGACUGUCCCUGACGCUGAGGAACGAAAGCGUGGGUAGCAAACAGGAUUAGAUACCCUAGUAGUC
rnacentral:rRNA from 1 species